rnacentral:rRNA from 1 species
GAUGAACGCUAGCUACAGGCUUAACACAUGCAAGUCGAGGGGCAGCAUAACGAAAGCUUGCUUUUGUUGAUGGCGACCGGCGCACGGGUGAGUAACGCGUAUCCAACCUUCCCCAUAGUAGAGAAUAGCCCGGCGAAAGUCGGAUUAAUGCUCUAUGUUGUAUCAUGAGGACAUCUGAAUAAUACCAAAGGUUUACCGCUAUGGGAUGGGGAUGCGUCUGAUUAGGUUGUUGGCGGGGUAACGGCCCACCAAGCCCACGAUCAGUAGGGGUUCUGAGAGGAAGGUCCCCCACAUUGGAACUGAGACACGGUCCAAACUCCUACGGGAGGCAGCAGUGAGGAAUAUUGGUCAAUGGACGGAAGUCUGAACCAGCCAAGUAGCGUGCAGGAUGACGGCCCUAUGGGUUGUAAACUGCUUUUAUACAGGGAUAAAGUGAGGGCACGUGUCC